ACGCCCUGGGUGACCCGGGAGGCCCAGAGCGUGACUCGUCUUUCCCUUGGGCAGGCUCCAGUGGCCUCGACGCAGAAAGCCCAGCUCAGAUGGAGCGAGGGGACAGGCUGCGUGUGGGCGAUCGCAGGGAGAGGAGAGAGAGGGGAACGCCUGACGCCUCUGGCACAGGUUCUGCUGACCUCAGACCCCAGGUGUUUAUUAAAACGGAGCAGGAAGAGGAGCCGUGCACGGGGGGGCCCCCAGAGCAGAGAGAGACAGGAAUUCUCCAUGCCCCUGGCACAGGCACAGGCUGGCCUGACGUGAAGCAUGAGAUUGUGGUGAAAGUGGAGCCAGAUGACGAGUCAUAUGUGGGGUAUCCCCAAGGCCUGGGGGACCGAGACCUCCCCGGCUACCCCAGCACUGGUAUCAAAGCAGAGAUUGUGGUCAAAAUGGAGCCCGAGGACGAUGCCUAUGGCGAGUGUGCCCAGCAUUACGGUGAAGGAGACGGUCCCAACGACCCCUUCUGUGAUGCAAACCCAGAGAUUAUCGUGAAAGUGGAGCCAGAUGAUGAGUCGGCCAUUGGCUAUCCCCAGGGCCUGAGCGAAGGCAGAAUUCCCGGCUACCCCAGCCCAGGGUUGAACAACGAGACGCGCCGAGUGCUGCGAUUACGGAAAAGUGUGACGCGAGAUGCAACAUUUACGAUAUCACAAACAGGUAUAUUGCAAAAAAAAUUUUUUGUUUAUUGACAUAUUAAGAUAUCACAAGAGAUAUCAUAGAAUCGGA
rnacentral:lncRNA from 1 species